rnacentral:rRNA from 1 species
GAUGAACGCUGACAGAAUGCUUAACACAUGCAAGUCAACUUGAACUUCGGUUUGGGUGGCGGACGGGUGAGUAACGCGUAAAGAACUUGCCUCACAGAUAGGGACAACAUUUGGAAACGAAUGCUAAUACCUGAUAUUAUGAUUAUAUGGCAUCGUAUAAUUAUGAAAGCUAUAUGCGCUGUGAGAGAGCUUUGCGUCCCAUUAGCUAGUUGGAGAGGUAACGGCUCACCAAGGCGAUGAUGGGUAGCCGGCCUGAGAGGGUGCUCGGCCACAAGGGGACUGAGACACGGCAGUUACUCAUACGGGAGGCAGCAGUGGGGAAUAUUGGACAAUGGACCAAGAGUCUGAUCCAGCAAUUCUGUGUGCAAGAUGAAGUUUUUCGGAAUGUAAAGUGCUUUCAGUUGGGAAGAAAAAAUGACGUUACCAACAGAAGAAGUGACGGCUAAAUACGUG